AUUGAACGCUGGCGACAGGCCUAACACAUGCAAGUCGAACGGUAACAGGAAGCAGCUUGCUGCUUUGCUGACGAGUGGCGGACGGGUGAGUAAUGUCUGGGAAACUGCCCGAUGGAGGGGGAUAACUACUGGAAACGGUAGCUAAUACCGCAUAACGUCGCAAGACCAAAGAGGGGGACCUUAGGGCCUCUUGCCAUCGGAUGUGCCCAGAUGGGAUUAGCUAGUAGGUGGGGUAACGGCUCACCUAGGCGACGAUCCCUAGCUGGUCUGAGAGGAUGACCAGCCACACUGGAACUGAGACACGGUCCAGACUCCUACGGGAGGCAGCAGUGGGGAAUAUUGCACAAUGGGCGCAAGCCUGAUGCAGCCAUGCCGCGUGUAUGAAGAAGGCCUUCGGGUUGUAAAGUACUUUCAGCGGGGAGGAAGGGAGUAAAGUUAAUACCUUGGCUCAUUGACGUUACCCGCAGAAGAAGCACCGGCUAACUCCGUG
rnacentral:rRNA from 1 species